GAGAUGGAUUGGUGCCUUCGGGAACUGUGAGACAGGUGCUGCAUGGCUGUCGUCAGCUCGUGUUGUGAAAUGUUGGGUUAAGUCCCGCAACGAGCGCAACCCUUAUCCUUUGUUGCCAGCGGUCCGGCCGGGAACUCAAAGGAGACUGCCAGUGAUAAACUGGAGGAAGGUGGGGAUGACGUCAAGUCAUCAUGGCCCUUACGACCAGGGCUACACACGUGCUACAAUGGCGCAUACAAAGAGAAGCGACCUCGCGAGAGCAAGCGGACCUCAUAAAGUGCGUCGUAGUCCGGAUUGGAGUCUGCAACUCGACUCCAUGAAGUCGGAAUCGCUAGUAAUCGUGGAUCAGAAUGCCACGGUGAAUACGUUCCCGGGCCUUGUACACACCGCCCGUCACACCAUGGGAGUGAGUUGCAAAAGAAGUAGGUAGCUUAACCUUCGGGAGGGCGCUUACCACUUUGUGAUUCAUGACUGGGGUGAAGUCGUAACAAGGUAACCGUAGGGGAACCUGCGGUUGGAUCACCUCCUUACCUUAAAGAAGC
rnacentral:rRNA from 1 species